ensembl:snRNA U5 U5 spliceosomal RNA
ACAAAUUGGUAUCUCUUCAGACCAUAUAAAUCUUUUGCUAAAGAUUUCCAUGGAGAGGAACAUUUAUGAGUUUGUAACCAAUUUUUUGAGGCUCUGUUUUCUGAAGAAAU